rnacentral:lncRNA from 1 species
CUAUAUACUAGAAUUUGUUUGGACAAUAAACAUUAACUUCAAUUCCUGUCAGUUUGUAUUUGUCCAAUCAAAUCCCAGUAUGUAUUGAAACUCCGCCUACCUAUUGUUUGAAAACAUCCAAGCAAACAUAGCAAGCAAGUCAAUCAAAGUUUUUUUUUUGCAUGCUUUUAUAGAAGAGAUGUACUAUAUAAUGCAAAGAAGCGUUUAAGUCUUUCGCCAAAAAAAUACUAUCAAUUUCUUUUUGUCCUAUGUAAACUUCCGUACCAUUUC